UUUGACUCGUUUGGUUUGCGGGUUUGUCGGAUGGUCCAAAGAAUCUUUCCUCUUCUUCUCCUCUUCUUUGGUUCUUCCAACCUGUGUCAAUUCUUCUUGAAUUAUCCAUGAAUUGAGAGAUGUUGUUGAUGAAUAUGAGUGAAGACUGGUACAAAAUGAAUGAUUCAUUAAUUCAUUCAUUCAGCUAUCCGCGAACAGAGUACAACAUAUCCUUCUUCAUUCGACUUUACAGACACACUCAGAGAACAAGUUAGUAAUCCAGUGUGGGGGUGGUUAUGUACAGAGACUGGUCUCAGAUGGCUUCCAUAAGCCAAAGUCAGGGACCGAUGCUGGAGACCAUCCUCCUAUCACCCGAUGCGAGCAGCAACCGAGGACAUGAUUGGAGGAGAUGCUUGGCAACUCUAUCAGUAUGUCUGUCAACAAUUUAUUAACUGCAAAUACAUAAGGACUAAAGUGGAAUUGUCAACUUGGUGGAGAAAGAGGUUGAACAACUUCUUGAACCCGAAGAAAGAGCAAUUCUUCAACAAAUCUCAAGAUGAUAUCAACAAUUCCAUUAAUGGAUAACUUCAUUGUAAUGGACAAGACAUUGAUUACGGUGGAAAUCGAAGCAUGAUGGUUCCCACAUAUUGGAUGUGUAUAAUCUUUGGUUGAAAAUUUUGUGCGGGGAUCUUCUUGCUUUCAGGCUGGUUCAUUAUUUGAAAGAAAGUUUUGCAAAUUUAUAGUCAGGACUAGAGGAAAAAUCUCAUCUUAAAACUACAGAUGAAAUUGCAUAAAGAACGACACAAUGGUGUUAUGCAGUUGCAGGUGUAAUUAUGAAUUAGGGAGUGAAGAACAAUUUGCUACCUUUUGCAGGAACAUGUUUUAGCUGUUGGAAA